GGCUCUGUAGCUAAGUGGUAAAGUGCUUGCCUGGAACACAUGUGGCCCUGGGUUCUAGCCCCAGCACCA
rfam:Ictidomys tridecemlineatus contig010116, whole genome shotgun sequence.